GACGUAGGGCGCGAGCGUUGUCCGGAUUUAUUGGGCGUAAAGAGCUCGUAGGCGGCUCGUUGCGUCGGCUGUGAAAACCCGCAGCUCAACUGUGGGCUUGCAGCUGAUACGGGCGGGCGUGGGAUUCGGUAGGGGGAGACGUGGAAUUCCUGGUGUAGCGGUGAAAUGCGCAGAUAUCAGGAGGAACACCGGUGGCGGAAGGC
rnacentral:rRNA from 1 species